rnacentral:rRNA from 1 species
UACGGAGGGUGCAAGCGUUAUUCGGAAUCACUGGGCGUAAAGGGUGCGUAGGCGGUUUGGAAAGUCAGAUGUGAAAGCCUACAGCUUAACUGUAGAACUGCAUUUGAAACUUCCAGACUAGAAUACUGAAGGGGCAGAUGGAAUUAGUGGUGUAGGGGUAAAAUCCGUAGAUAUCACUAGGAAUACCGAAAGCGAAAGCGAUCUGCUGGGAAGUUAUUGACGCUGAGGCACGAAAGCGUGGGGAGCAAACGGG